AUGCGCUUGCAGUGCUUCUUUCCACAUAGCAGAGCCCCAGCGCACAUAUAUACUCCUCGGCUCCUCCUCCGAGUCUCCACCACUACCUUCCUGGAGUUGCCUAUUCCCAUGGCGCUCUCCAGCCGCCUCCUCCUCCUCCUCUCCCUCGUCGCCAUGACGGCGGUCACUGGCACCUCCAAGGUCAUCGUGACAAGGUGCUACCCGCCGCCGAUGCCCCACCCCAACGACAGGGACGCGUUCCACCGCAGUCUCCUCUCGCUCCUCGACGACCUCCCCUCCGUCGCCGCGCCGACGGGCUUCGCCUCCAAGCGGACCAGCGGCGCGUUCGCCCGCGGCCUCUGCUUCGGCGACCCCGCGCCCGGCCCGUGCCUCCACUGCCUGUCCGACGCCGGCGCGAAAAUCGCCAACCAGUGCGGCAACGCGAGCCGGCGCGCGGGCUUCCUGAACGACGGCUGCUUCCUGGGCUACGCCGACACCAACGUUUCCUCCGACGGCAUUGACAUCGGUGGGCAUCCACGCCAUCGACGUGCUGUACUUCUCGGCCGUGGCGCCGCCCCUGGUCCCACAGUCCGCGAAUGGCCGGGCGCCCGCCGCCGACGCGACUGCCACGGCGAGCAACGGCGACACGGCGCGCGUGCUGGCACAGUGCGCGACGGACCGCGCCCCGGAGAAGUGCGACCUUUGCCUGAGUGA
rnacentral:rRNA from 1 species